rnacentral:rRNA from 1 species
GACGAACGCUGGCGGCGUGCUUAACACAUGCAAGUCGAACGGAAAGGCCCUGCUUUUGUGGGGUGCUCGAGUGGCGAACGGGUGAGUAACACGUGAGUAACCUGCCCUUGACUUUGGGAUAACUUCAGGAAACUGGGGCUAAUACCGGAUAGGAGCUCCUGCUGCAUGGUGGGGGUUGGAAAGUUUCGGCGGUUGGGGAUGGACUCGCGGCUUAUCAGCUUGUUGGUGGGGUAGUGGCUUACCAAGGCUUUGACGGGUAGCCGGCCUGAGAGGGUGACCGGACACAUUGGGACUGAGAUACGGCCCAGACUCAUACGGGAGGCAGAAGUGGGGAAUAAUGCACAAUGGGCGGAAGCCUGAUGCAGCAACGCCGCGUGAGGGAUGAAGGCCUUCGGGUUGUAAACCGCUUUCGCCUGUGACGAAGCGUGAGUGACGGUAAUGGGUAAAGAAGCAACGGAUAACUACGUG